UACCACAGAAUGAUACUUUUCCUAUGAUCGAUCGCGACAUGGUGUUCCACUCCACGUUUUUUCCUUCCAUAAAACACAAAAACUGGAGCCUACUACCAAACCAACCAAACAAUCCAUCGCGCAGUGUAAUGUGACCUGCAUAGAACACCGUAGUAUGCACUUUGGACGUCUAAAGGCGAAGAAAUGUAUGUUGGAGUCAUGAACUCUUUUGAAAGGCGGGAAAAGAUGGUGUCCUCCUUCGUCAGUCACGUCCAGUUUUGUGCAUGCAGAAAACACGUAGGUCACCCUGGAAACACAAAAGUACAGAAGUCUUGUUGUUUCUCCUUAGCUAGACAUACAACCGUAGCUAUUCCGAUUUUAGCCGAACAACCAGAGUGGUCAGCACGACUUUUGAGGUCAUUUUGAUGCAUCACUCAUACAAAAACAACCAAGUAAUUACUUCCCUUUUGAGUUCACAAAGUGGAAGUGAAGUAACCGUUUUAUUUUGAAAACUCUUAACUCUACAAAACAUUUACAACGAACAAUAAACAAACACAGAGAAAAACACACAGAAACACGUGCACAGUUGUACCAGGAUCCUUGGUUUUGGUCAGGAGUGUUUUCCUAAUAUAAUUUAAUAGCUUAAUAGGCACGAAUCACCCCAAAACGAUCAUUGGCCUGUCUUUGAUACGUAGUAGGAAAUGAUGUCAAUGGCCAAAAUCCAAGAUGGCCACCAAGGUGGCCAACAAGAUGGCCGCCAAACGAACCUCAUGGGACAUAUUUGACGCGAAGAACAUCAGUAACUACACAC